CUAAGAGUGAAGAGUGCCACCAUCAGGACGACUGGACAAAUGGAAGCAAAUUUUAUGAAGGUGACACUUCUGAAAUUCAGGUUUGCGGCAGUGGAUCUGUUGACCACCUAUUCCGCGGAAAAGUGAAUUUCCACACUGCAAUAUUCAUCUCUUGGAGUGGGGACGGAUGAAAGUUUGAAUACUAAAGGUAUGAAUAUACAGAACUCAUCAUUGUCAAAAGAACAAAGAGGUUCACAGACAGGAAAAGGAAAAAGAAUGCUGAAAGAUAUCUGCUUUCCUUCUGCAGUGGUAUAAAAAGAUUGUGCAAAGUAUUGUAAGAGAUAAAAUAUGAGAAGCGACUGCAUUGAAGAUGGGGCUCACUGUACGUGCCAGCACUUCCAGUAUGGAUCUUUCAACCAUCAGUUUAAUGACUCCUGAUUUCCUUUGUCGUACCAUCUGGUUCAUUUCAUUUCCGUGAGACAUUAUUCCUUUCAGACACAUGGUUGGAAAACCAUACCUGCCCACUGAGGAAAGGGGAAAAUACAAGUCCUUUCAUGUGAUAUUAUGACUAAGAAUGUCUGUGUUUUGGAAGCAGUGCAGCAAGCAGGUGGGAAAGAGGAAUUCCCUUCCUUUCAGGUGGACAAUGCAAUGAUAUCAGCUAUAAGUGCAGUUGUUUCUAACAUUUCUGAACUUCAUCAGUGCAACAUUAAACCUGUCAGAUCCCAAUUAAAGCUGUUCUGCAACGGAAAAGGUGGCAGUGCUUGAGAUACUUAAAAAGGGAAGAAGAACUGCAAGGCUUAGGGAUUGAAUCUGACCGCUGAGUCUGGUGGAACAUCUGAUCUUUCCUUCUCUCAGAAUUCCUGAGCUGUCUGGAUUUCAAUGACAGGAGAUAAACCAGCUGAAAGAAAUCGUGUGACAAGAACAGUAGGUUCUCCUUCCAUGAUGGAACAAAAUGUGAAGGGAAAGAUGGAAAAAGAAAAGAAAUGGAAAUACAGUGAAUUUUCCUCAUUAAGUACAGAAGAGGAACCUAUUCCUGCUUGUAAGUUUUGCAGUAUUCUUGGAAAGAAGUUGUUCUCCUGCAUUAGGAUCCAUGGAGCUCCAAAAUCUGGCUGAGCCCAGGGAGACCUGCUUGCUGGAUGAGGGAAAGGCUGUGGAUGUUGUCUGCCUAGACUUUAGCAAAGCCUUUGAAACCAUUUCCCACAGCAUACUCCUGGAAAAAAUGGAUACUCAUGGCCUGGAUGGAUGUACUUUUUGCUGGGAAAAAGCCCAGCUGGAUGAACGGACCCAAAGACCUGUGUGUCCAGAAGAAAGAGUGAAGUUCCUCUCCUGGCCUCUCAAAUAAAAAGGAAAAAAACAGGUAAA